AGUUUAGAUUUUUAUAUAUUCUUAUCAAAGAAAAGUGGUGCUUUUCAAAUGUUUUGUAUUUAAUUAGACGAGCUUUAGUUGAUGUGAUGCUUGCUUGUUGCUUGAGUUUUGUGUUUUUGAGUGUGCUAGGUUUCAUAAAUGCGUUUAGACACCGUCCGGUCCUUCCCGUGAAUUUUCCAAAAUUUUUUCGGAACUUUUUUUCCAUUUUCUAUUUUUUUCCGUAAAACUUGCUAACAACUCAGUUCAACACACCCGCACAAAACAUAUUGACAUCCGCCACCACUUCCUUAGGGAUC
rnacentral:lncRNA from 1 species